CAUCGAAAGACAUUGAAGAAAGAAGGGAUCCGUUGGAGUGCGACAGGCGGAGUGGUCCAUUCGCAUGUGUAUACCCAGAAGCCUGUCAUUGCAACCCCUAUGCAGCGAUUGGAGUUCCCUCUGGCAGAAGGUACCGCUACCAGAAUGGCCGGUGUGUUCGAGGUGCAUUUACAUUAAAUUGCAACGGAUUUUCAUCCCUUGUGGCGUGCUAUCGGAACUGCUUAGGUGCAUGAGCUUAGUCACACAGGUUACACAAACAUCUCGAAAUUUCUACGCCAAUAAAGUCGCCUACUGCAA